GGCGGUUCUUGGGUGACACACCCCAGAAUCGGGCUCCCUCCUCUCUGGUUCCGGGUGCAUCACAGGUGAUGCA
rfam:Myotis davidii contig4304, whole genome shotgun sequence.